rnacentral:rRNA from 1 species
AGAGUUUGAUUAUGGCUCAGGACGAACGCUGGCGGCGUGCUUAAUACAUGCAAGUCAUAGGGGCUAAUUUCCUUCGGGAGAUUGGUCACUGGCGCACGGGUGCGUAACGCGUAAGUUAUCUUCCCUUGGGUCUGGCAUAACGUCGGGAAACCGGCGCUAAUUCCAGAUGAUAUCGCAAGAUCAAAGCCUUCGGGCGCCCAAGGAUGAGCUUGCGUCUGAUUAGCUUGUUGGCGGGGUAAUGGCCCACCAAGGCGACGAUCAGUAGCCGGUCUGAGAGGAUGAUCGGCCACAUUGGGACUGAGACACGGCCCAGACUCCUACGGGAGGCAGCAGUAAGGAAUAUUGCGCAAUGGACGAAAGUCUGACGCAGCAACGCCGCGUGCAGGAUGAAGGCCCUUUGGGUUGUAAACUGCUGUAGAAAGGGAAUAAUAGUUUGCCACGGGUGAACUUGAAGGUACCUUUAAAGUAAGCGCCGGCUAACUACGUGCCAGCAGCCGCGGUAAUACGUAGGGCGCAAGCGUUGUCCGGAUUCACUGGGUGUAAAGGGUGCGCAGGCGGAUUGGCAAGUCAGAAGUGAAAUCUUACGGCUCAACCGUGAAACUGCUUUUGAUACUGCUUAUCUUGAGUUCGGGAGAGGUUGAUGGAAUUCCAGGUGUAGCGGUGAAAUGCGUAGAUAUCUGGAAGAACACCAGUGGCGAAGGCGGUCAACUGGCCCGCAACUGACGCUCAUGCACGAAAGCGUGGGGAUCAAACAGGAUUAGAUACCCUGGUAGUCCACGCCCUAAACGAUGUAUGCUUGGUGUUGGCUCUUUAGAGUCAGUGCCGUAGGUAACCUGUUAAGCAUACCACCUGGGGAGUACGCUCGCAAGGGUGAAACUCAAAGGAAUUGACGG